rnacentral:lncRNA from 1 species
GCUUAAUAACUCAAUCAUACUUUGUACAUUUGGAAAGUAAGCCCACCUGGUUAGGCAAAGCCUGAAGAUCAUAAUCACAUAUAAACCUGUCUUGGGAAAGCAGCGCUAAUUCCCCUGGUCACAAAGCCUACAAGAAAUUCUAUUCUUAAUAGGUCUCAUGAAACUAAUCUUAAUGUAUUUAUGGAUGUACUAAACAUACUUGAUUCAUCACGCCGGGUUUUCAAAUUUAAUGAAUAAAUACUUGAAAACUAAAUUUCUUGAGUUAAGGACACCAACAAUAUCCUUACUCGAUUUUCUUUUAGUGUUUUAGGGUUCUAGCAUCCAUAAUUCGUUCCAUUAAAGACAAAUCGAAAACCAACAUAACCUCGUGACUAACCACAUAAUAUCACGUAAUCACGUAAAUAAUAAACAGAAAGAAAUAAAAUCCUCAAGUUUAGUAUCAUUAAAAUUCACAAGUUCACAUGAACAUAAAAGAAAUCAUGCACCAUUUUUUUAACAUUCUAUACAUUUCAUUUUUUUCAUGUAAAUAAAUAAGAAAUUCCAUUAUUCAUUAUAAUAAUAAACAUUUUAAAAUCCAUUGAGAUGAAAUAAAACAUUUUAACCAUUUAAAAUCCAUACUCAAAAAGCCUUGAAAUAUUAUAAAAAUGAGGGUUUAAUCCCAAAAUUUGUUUUCAUUUUUAAAGUCCAUCAAUAAAUUAAAUAAAAGAACGGACCUCAUUUAAAAUAAAUAGUCCCAACCUUAAAUAUUAAAAUUUAAAUCAAGAGAUUUAAAUUCACUAAAAUAAUUUAGUGAAAAUUCAAACACAUAGGCAACACAAUCACAUAAGGCACAUAAGAAUCACAAUCAAACAUCAUUAAAACAUGCUCUGUUUUUACACUGGUUCAACUUCAAAAUUUAAACUGUUCUGACUCCGACAUCUCCUGGACUCUAGAAUCAUACUGAAAGAAAUAUCUUCGAGUCUAGUUUCAUUUUAAAAAAAAUAGAGUCGAAAGCUCCAAGUGGUUUGAGAGAUAUGACGUUUUUACCACGAUCUACCAUUUCUGGCAGUUUUGUGCAACCGAAGGUUACAAUUUUUGAAAAAUAGUAAACGUUGUCAAACUGGGCUCAACUUUGGUGGAUAUCUAUCUAACACAAUAAGGUUGAUACCAUAAAAAGUUGGAAAGCUAGAUCACAUAGGAAGCUACUUAAAUGAAUGACUCUUUCCCCUGUUCUCUGAAAUUCUCGGUAAUAAUGUGCAGUUUAGGUUUGCAUUUUAAAGAAAUAUCAAACGAAGUUUAAAUAGCUUGAAAUUUUACCAGGGUACUCACGACUCAUGUAGAAACUUGCUAUAAAAUUUUCAAAGCUAUUAGACAUCGACAAACCAUCUAUCACAGUAGGUCAGUAGGCCUACGAAAUUCUCCAAUUUGUAUUUAAAACUUAUAUAUCUUAAUAAUAUCUCUAACUUGAAUAUAACAUCAUAAUUCUCAACAACAACUCAUCCCAAAACUCAUUUCAUCACUUCUAAUCAUCAAUCUAAACCAUCACUUAACAUCAUAGCAUGCUCAAGAAUCAUAUACCCAUCAAAUCUUCAAAUCAACAUCAUAUAACAAAAUCACAUAUAGAAACACAUAUAUAUCAUCUUCUUCCUCAAACUAACAUUUUUCAUUUUUCACUUCUCAACCUCAAGCUUCAAUCUCAUCCAUCAUUAAUCAUCUAGAUCAUCUCAUAAACUCAAAUCCAUCAUCAUAUAACUCAAGCCAAGUCAAGAAAUAAACAACAAAAUUCUAGGGUUUCAAGCUCCUAAUUUUCGAAAGUUUCAUAAAAAUAAGUUUGGUGAUUUUCUAGCUCAAUCAUGAUCAUAUACUCAUUCACAUAUCAUUAAUAUGAUCUAAUAAAUAAUCUAAGAUCACUUACUCAAGGAUUUAAAAGGUGAUCAAGACUUUGCUCCAACUUUGAUCUUAGCUCUAGCUUCUUGAAUUUGAUGAGAUAUGAUAGUAUUUGAUUGGAUUGGAUGGUGGAUUAUCUCAUAGUAGUGUUUGAUGAAGCUUCUCUAAGCUUUCUUCAAUGGACAUCAAUGGAGGAAAAGAGAGUAUAGAGAGAGAGAGGGGAGGCCGAGAAUUGAAGUGUGAGGGAGUGAAGUGAUGAGCUUUGUCUUGAAAUGGAAGAAUGAUUAAGGACAAAGCAUUAUUCAUGAUUAAAGCUUGGUUCCCUACCACCUUAGCACACUAAUCCUAUCUUCUUCACUCAUCACACUUCCACUCAUGUUUAUUAGAUAAAAAUAAGUUAGUGGUAGGGAAAAGAAAAUAUUAGUGGUGGUAGGAGAAAAAAAAAAUUAGUGGUGGAAGAGUAGGUGGAUAAAUUAGGUGGAGAAAUUAGGUGAUUGAAUAAAAUAAAAAGUCUUCCGGGUUGUACUAUGAAAACUGUAAUAAUCGUUCAAUGUUUGCUUAAAUAAAUAGCUCGUGUAGAUGCUAAAUGCUUAAUAUAAAUAAAUAUGCAAUGCAUAUAAAUUUAAUAACUAAAUUUACAAAUGUUUUUUUUUUGUAAAUCAUUUUUCUUGGAAUUAAAAUAAAUUCAUUUUCUUUAUAUCCGGCGUGAAUCAUCAUGACUUCUAAGUUCAAAAUUACUCUAAAUUUAGCUAAGAAAUAACGGGGUGUUACA